rnacentral:rRNA from 1 species
UACAGAGGUCUCAAGCGUUGUUCGGAUUAAUUGGGAGUAAAGGGUGCGUAGGCGGCGAGGUAAGUGGGGUGUGAAAUCUCGGAGCUUAACUCCGAAACUGCAUUCGAUACUGCCGUGCUUGAGGACUGGAGAGGAGACUGGAAUUUACGGUGUAGCGGUGAAAUGCGUAGAUAUCGUAAGGAAGACCAGUGGCGAAGGCGGGUCUCUGGACAGUUCCUGACGCUGAGGCACGAAGGUCAGGGGAGCAAACGGG